AACGCACAUUGCGCCCGCUAGUAUUCUGGCGGGCAUGCCUGUCUGAGCGUCAUUUCAACCCUCACGCCCGGCUUCGUGUCGGGGGUGGUGUUGGGGAUCGGCCUCCCGGUUACGGGCGGCCGGCCCCGAAAUAGAGUGGCGACCACGCCGUAGCCUCCUCUGCGUAGUAGUGAAAGCCUCGCAGGCGGAGAGCGGUGCGGCCUGCCGUAAAACCCCCAACUCUUCUAAGGUUGACCUCAGAUCAGGUAGGAAUACCCGCUGAACUUAA
rnacentral:misc_RNA from 1 species